rnacentral:rRNA from 1 species
GACGAACGCUGGCGGCGUGCUUAACACAUGCAAGUCGAACGGAAAGGCCCUUCGGGGUACUCGAGUGGCGAACGGGUGAGUAACACGUGGGUGAUCUGCCCUGCACUUCGGGAUAAGCUUGGGAAACUGGGUCUAAUACCGGAUAUGACCAUGGGAUGCAUGUCUUGUGGUGGAAAGCUUUUGCGGUGUGGGAUGGGCCCGCGGCCUAUCAGCUUGUUGGUGAGGUUACGGCUCACCAAGGCGACGACGGGUAGCCGGCCUGAGAGGGUGUCCGGCCACACUGGGACUGAGAUACGGCCCAGACUCCUACGGGUGGCUG